rnacentral:tRNA from 1 species
GCAGGGGUGCCGGAGUGGUCAAACGGACAUGGUUAAGGCCCAUGUGGCUUAGUGCCUACGCAGGUUCGAGUCCUGUCCCUUGCA